rnacentral:rRNA from 1 species
AAGCCUGAUCCAGCAACGCCGCGUGAGGGAUGACGGCUUCGGGUUGUAAACCUCUUUCAGCACCGACGAAGCGCAAGUGAUGGUAGGUGCAGAAGAAGGACCGGCCAACUACGUGCCAGCAGCCGCGGUAAUACGUAGGGUCCGAGCGUUGUCCGGAAUUAUUGGGCGUAAAGGGCUCGUAGGCGGUUUGUCGCGUCGGGAGUGAAAACACCGGGCUUAACUCGGUGCUUGCUUUCGAUACGGGCAGACUUGAGGUAUGCAGGGGAGAACGGAAUUCCUGGUGUAGCGGUGAAAUGCGCAGAUAUCAGGAGGAACACCGGUGGCGAAGGCGGUUCUCUGGGCAUUACCUGACGCUGAGGAGCGAAAGUGUGGGGAGCGAACAGGAUUAGAUACCCUGGUAGUCCACACCGUAAACGUUGGGCGCUAGGUGUGGGAUCCAUUCCACGGGUUCCGUGCCGUAGCUAACGCAUUAAGCGCCCCGCCUGGGGAGUACGGCCGCAAGGCUA